GUUUUUCUAUCUUGAAAUCUGGAAAUGAUGAUUAAGUAGGAUGACAGUAGUUUAGGUAUUGAAGCAUUUGCCAUGAGAAAGUAUUCACGAAUCCAAUAAUUUUAUGGCCUUAUAUCAAGCAUAUUGAAUUUGCAGUUAUGCAAAGUCAAAAUGAAGGAAAUGCUUUUGAGCAAAGAGCUUUUAUCAACAAAGAUGAUUUGGCUAACAUAUGUUUUUAUUUCAUAAUAUCAAAGAACCAUUAUUUAGAUGUGAAUUAUCAUCGGCACUGUCACUGGAAU
rnacentral:misc_RNA from 1 species